rnacentral:rRNA from 1 species
AUAUCAAUAAGCGGAGGAAAAGAAACUAACAAGGAUUCCCCUAGUAACUGCGAGUGAAGCGGGAAGAGCUCAAAUUUAAAAUCUGGCAGCCUGAUGGGCUUGUCCGAGUUGUAAUCUAGAGAAGUGUCUUCCGCGCUGGGACCGUGUACAAGUCUCUUGGAAUGGAGCAUCAUGGAGGGUGAGAAUCCCGUCUCUGACACGGAAUUUACCGGUGCUUUUGUGAUGCACUCUCGAAGAGUCGAGUUGUUUGGGAAUGCAGCUCAAAAUGGGUGGUAAAUUCCAUCUAAAGCUAAAUACAGGCGAGAGACCGAUAGCGAACAAGUACCGUGAGGGAAAGAUGAAAAGGACUUUGAAAAGAGAGUUAAACAUUAC